rnacentral:rRNA from 1 species
GACGAACGCUGGCGGCGUGCCUAAUACAUGCAAGUAGAACGCUGAAGAGAGGAGCUUACUCUUCUUGGAUGAGUUGCGAACGGGUGAGUAACGCGUAGGUAACCUGCCUUGUAGCGGGGGAUAACUAUUGGAAACGAUAGCUAAUACCGCAUAACAAUGGAUGACACAUGUCAUUUAUUUGAAAGGGGCAAUUGCUCCACUACAAGAUGGACCUGCGUUGUAUUAGCUAGUAGGUGAGGUAAUGGUUCACCUAGGCGACGAUACAUAGCCGACCUGAGAGGGUGAUCGGCCACACUGGGACUGAGACACGGCCCAGACUCCUACGGGAGGCAGCAGUAGGGAAUCUUCGGCAAUGGGGGCAACCCUGACCGAGCAACGCCGCGUGAGUGAAGAAGGUUUUCGGAUCGUAAAGCUCUGUUGUAAGUCAAGAACGGGUGUGAGAGUGGAAAGUUCACACUGUGACGGUAGCUUACCAGAAAGGGACGGCUAACUACGUG